rnacentral:rRNA from 1 species
AGAGUUUGAUCAUGGCUCAGAUUGUUCGCUGGCGGCAGGCUUCACACAUGCAAGUCGAACGGUAACAGGGAGAAAGCUUGCUUUCUUUGCUGACGAGUGGCGGACGGGUGAGUAAUGCUUGGGAAUCUGGCUUAUGGAGGGGGAUAACUACGGGAAACUGUAGCUAAUACCGCGUAAUAUCUUCGGAUUAAAGGGUGGGACUUUCGGGCCACCUGCCAUAAGAUGAGCCCAAGUGGGAUUAGGUAGUUGGUGGGGUAAAGGCCUACCAAGCCGACGAUCUCUAGCUGGUCUGAGAGGAUGACCAGCCACACUGGAACUGAGACACGGUCCAGACUCCUACGGGAGGCAGCAGUGGGGAAUAUUGCACAAUGGGGGGAACCCUGAUGCAGCCAUGCCGCGUGAAUGAAGAAGGCCUUCGGGUUGUAAAGUUCUUUCGGUGAUGAGGAAGGCAGGUAAGUUAAUAGCUUACCUGAUUGACGUUAGUCACAGAAGAAGCACCGGCUAACUCCGUGCCAGCAGCCGCGGUAAUACGGAGGGUGCGAGCGUUAAUCGGAAUGACUGGGCGUAAAGGGCACGCAGGCGGUGACUUAAGUGAGAUGUGAAAGCCCCGGGCUUAACCUGGGAAUUGCAUUUCAUACUGGGUCGCUAGAGUAUUUUAGGGAGGGGUAGAAUUCCACGUGUAGCGGUGAAAUGCGUAGAGAUGUGGAGGAAUACCGAAGGCGAAGGCAGCCCCUUGGGAAUAUACUGACGCUCAUGUGCGAAAGCGUGGGGAGCAAACAGGAUUAGAUACCCUGGUAGUCCACGCUGUAAACGCUGUCGAUUUGGGGAUUGGGCUUAGAGCUUGGUGCCCGUAGCU